GACAAACGCUGGCGGCGUGCUUAACACAUGCAAGUCGAACGGAAAGGCCCUGCUUUUGUGGGGUGCUCGAGUGGCGAACGGGUGAGUAACACGUGAGUAACCUGCCCUUGACUUUGGGAUAACUUCGGGAAACUGGGGCUAAUACCGGAUAGGAGCUCCUGCUGCAUGGUGGGGGUUGGAAAGUUUCGGCGGUUGGGGAUGGACUCGCGGCUUAUCAGCUUGUUGGUGGGGUAGUGGCUUACCAAGGCUUUGACGGGUAGCCGGCCUGAGAGGGUGACCGGCCACAUUGGGACUGAGAUACGGCCCAGACUCCUACGGGAGGCAGCAGUGGGGAAUAUUGCACAAUGGGCGGAAGCCUGAUGCAGCAACGCCGCGUGCGGGAUGACGGCCUUCGGGUUGUAAACCGCUUUCGCCUGUGACGAAGCGUGAGUGACGGUAAUGGGUAAAGAAGCACCGGCUAACUACGUG
rnacentral:rRNA from 1 species